rnacentral:rRNA from 1 species
UACGUAGGGUGCAAGCGUUAAUCGGAAUUACUGGGCGUAAAGCGUGCGCAGGCGGUUAUGUAAGACAGAUGUGAAAUGCCCGGGCUUAACCUGGGAACUGCAUUUGUGACUGCAUGGCUAGAGUUUGGCAGAGGGGGGUAGAACUCCACGUGUAGCAGUGAAAUGCGUAGAUAUGUGGAGGAACACCGAUGGCGAAGGCAGCCCCCUGGGUCAAGACUGACGCUCAUGCACGAAAGCGUGGGGAGCAAACAGG